AAGAGACUCGGUAAGUCGUAUAAACUAGCCCUGGUGCGGAUGGGUUACUCCCGCUCUGUUUCUUACUUCAGGUUAAAGAGUAAGUGGCGUGCAUGACA
rnacentral:ncRNA from 1 species